rnacentral:lncRNA from 1 species
UGGGAUCUUAUAUGUUCAAUUCUUAAUUGUCGUUUCAAAUCCUUGGACUAGUGGCUGGGAUCGUAUUAGUUAUUUGGAGAUACCUAUUUGUACGGAAAUUCAGUUAGUAAGUUGAAUAUAGCCCUCUUGUUCUAGCCAUGUGCAGUUGAAUUGAAUAUUUUCGGUCCGCUGCUCAUUCUUGAUUUUUGCAAAAAAAUCUAAAAUCCUUGGUCAGUGGCAUGUUAAUUAUACAUUGCUCGCUAGUUCUAUGCACAUACAAUACUUGGUUGGGACUGAAAACUGUAGCACUUGAGCAAGAAAGGCUGACUACCGAUUCAUUAGCAUGUCAAUAAAGUCAAUCUGGUCUUCCUCUAUGAACUUGUUAGGGCUCAUUAAUAGCAUGGUUUUGCUCACUGAAAUAGGAGAGGAGCUGCACAAAACAGAAAAAGCACACAUGGACAAGUACACUUGACGCAAGAUUGACGAAAUAGAGGAAGAGAGCAUAGGUAAAAACUGAGACCAAAGGCACUGAGACUUGAGUAAUAAUUCCAGUAAGCUCAUAGUACUACUUCCACAACCACGAAUGGUAAAUUUUAAAAGUACAAAUGAAAGCAUAGAAAUUAACACAAAUUGCUAGUUUAGGUCUUCAAUGAUUUCCGAACAGAUUGAAAGUCCAAGCCUUGAUGAAUUGAUAGUUCACACAUGUUUUGUGAAGUAUUUUAAACGAAAUUGCAAUUGAAAUCCAGGUGCAGCUACUGUAGAUAUAUUUGUUGCAAUUAGUACACAUUUUUUCCCUAUCCAAGGUCUUCUACUAUUUCAAUACCCAUCAUAUGUGAAAAUUUGUGGUGAUAAAAGAAAUACAUCUACAGUCUGUAAUUCGUUCCUGAAAGUGAAACUUAACAAUAUCAGUGAGUGCUGAAAUGUACACUCUUGUUUGAUCUAAUUUCUCGAUUCCCUUUCCUUGUACUUCUAAGAAAAUAAUUAAGUCUUGCAUUAGGUAUAGAACACAAAGACAACAUUAGUUGCAUCUUUUAUUGAGGAAGAAACUCAUUAGAUCUAUCUAGGUUGAACAAGUUUAUGUCUAAACUGUCAUAUUUAUUCACAGAUUUUGUCUGCUUGCUUCAAAACAGAAAUGUGGCUUUUGCUUGCUGAUAAUUUCGGUUAUGUUGUGGCUGCCUAUUACUCAAUAUGAUCUCAUUUCAUAUCAUCAAUUUCAGGAACAUUAUCUCAGCUGUCGUUGAUUUCAGAACAGAUAGUUAGCAUUGUACCUUCAAGGGACUAUCCUUUUGCCUACUGAGCAAACAAAACAAAUGUGUAUAUAUAUUUAUUUAAGUGAAACAACAUGCUCCCAUUUUUGGUCAAUCGGUGGAUCUGACUAAUACAUAACUACAUAUAUAUGUGUGAGGUAUUAUUCAUGGGUCAUUUUUCGUAAUUCGAGUAAGCUGAAACUGAUGGUCUCAGAUGGUUUGUGUAUUAACUUUGAUCAGAACCUGCAUCUACAAAUACUGAGUAGAGGGUUGCCUUUUGUGCAGGAAUUUGCAGCAGGAUCCCUUGACUGCUCUCCGCUUGUCCUCACUCCUUAGACUUUCCCUUUGCUUAUCACCAUACAUUUUAUUCAGAGUGGUGUCAAGAUGCAUCUCCUCUGCCAAGAUGAUGGGCAGAGGGCCUAAGCUCUAGGUGAGCUCCUCCACCAAGCAUGUGUUGUAUAUUGUAUGAUGUUUGCAAUCUAAUGCUUUGCUCUGAUAUUUUAAUUUCAUGUAACAUGCAUACUCUCAUGGAUCUGUACGCAUGUGUUUGUAAGAACUUGUACGCAUGAGUUUGUAAGAAGUUGAAUGAUGGUAUGAUGCUUUAUUUUCUACAAAGUUGGGCUAUAUGCUCACUGCUGCUUCCUGAUAAUUGUGCAUGUAACUGGCUUUCUUCACUUCAUUUAAAUGAUUAUUAUGUUUUGGGCUUUGACUUAUGCAUAUAACAACACUACCAAGCCAGUUUGUUGUACAUCUUCUGUUUUUGGUUGUUUGGACUCAAGAGUAACUCAGAAGUUUGAAAAAAUGUACUAUGAUAAUAUUGCUCAAACAUAUGGUGCUUUUGUAGGGUCAAAUGGUGGGAAGUAUCAAGUCGAAGAUAUUAUGGCUUUUGUACAUAUUGUAUUUUCUUUAAAUGGAAGUUGAUGUCGGUUUGGUGAUCGAAGACUUGGGCUCUUCCAUAGUGUUUUGUAGAGUGAUCGAACUUAAGUCUCUUAUGAACUAGGCCCAUAUUUUAUAACAUGCCACAACUUGUAUGUUGACUUGAGUAUUUUUUUCAAUGGUUGUAGCAAGGAAAACUAAUGGGUCUUCUAUAUAUGUUGAAUAAAUGCGUUGGUCAAUGGCAUUUUGUGAUGAAUAAAAGAGUGUAAUUGUUGGUAUAUCUAUUGCAAAGUGAACAUGAAUUGAAUAUUUUAAAUUUAUUUUCAUGUUAAUAUAUGUCGCAUUUGCAUUUGUGCUGAAA